AAUUUAGAAUUCCGCGAAAAAUCAACGAACCGUUUUUCGGUGUAGCUGAAUAACAUGGAUUUUGAUCUAUAUUCUUUAGUAAGCGGGGCACGGAACAGGUGCGCGCUGAAAAGAUAAACCAUUUAUUACUAAGUCUUAAUUAACAUUGAAUAUUACAAGGCACAUAUUAAAUAGAGGAUUUCUAGUCAUUUUAAACCAAAACUAAAAUGAUGUAUUCUAACUCUAAAACCUUUAGUAAUUUAUCAUCUCAAGAGAAAUCGAAAGUACGCUUCUUUCCCCGUUGCGUACCUCGCUUUCAUAUGAAUGAGUGGAUAUCCAAAUCUUUUCUGUCUGUACAUCCUGUUUAAUUAUGAUUUUUCUAUGCGCAAAACAUUAUUACCUCUACGCCGUUUGUUGUUCCUUAUUAUAGAAAAAUCGAUUUUCAGUUACAAUUAACUUCAUGGAAUUGCAUAUAUUGAACAGCUAAUGUUAUAUUACUAUGGAAAAACGUGAGACACAUUGCUGUAGACAGAGCUAGUAGCUGGGAUCAAAAUUUGAAAACAUAAAAUCAGGUCAAAAUGAGGGAGAAGUAAAGACGAAUUAAAGCGACACAAGAGGUCCAAGGCGACUCUUUGCAGCGGCAGGUUAACACUAGUAUUUACGUCAAAAGAAGUACAUCAGGUAUCACAGGUACAACAGAGUAAUGGCUGAACGUUAUCCUGAUAAAGGAAAGGUUUUUAAACUGACAGAUUCGACAGGUUCAAAAAAGACAAUCGUAAAGUAUCAACAUAACUACAAGGAAUUCUCACUAAAAUGUAAGCAAAAGUUUGGCAUACCAGAAAGAGAGACUAUUACUUUUGAAACAGAAGACGGCUUUGAAAUUGACGAAGAAUCCAUACCGGAAUUUGAUAAUUUUUCGAUACUUGUUUUGCGUCAACAAAAGGCAUCCGUUUGUAAUGAAUAUACUGACGAAAUUGGUAUUGCGUCCGAUGAGUGGUCAGACCCUGCCGUAGAAGACAUAACAGCAGAAUAUACUGACGAAAUUGGUAUUGCGUCCGAUGAGUGGUCAGAUCCUGCCGUAGAAGACAUAACAGCAGGUGCUAAGGAAAUAAAACGAAAAUUGAAGGAACAUGGAGAUGAGAACGUUGAGGAAAGUGUACGGUCUAGCAUUGAUGAAUGGAAAUCUUCGUCUUUGAAUAUAUGCGUCAUAGGCUCUAGCGGAAACGGAAAAUCAUUUCUAAUUAAUGUACUACGUGACGUCAAAGAUCCGAAAGAUAAAUCAUAUGCCAAGAGUGGUACGACAGAAACAACAUACGAAUGUAAAGAUUACCCACAUCCAAAAUAUAAAAAUAUUAUAUUCUGGGAUGUUCCGGGAGUCGGAUCGCCGAGAUUUCCAAAGGAAACGUAUUUAUCCAAUAUCAAGGUAGAUCGGUAUGAUUUCUUCCUUAUAUGUUCUUGUAACAGAUUUAAGGAACACGAUUCAUGGUUGGCCGAAGAAAUAAAGAAGAGACAAAAACGUUUUUAUUUUCUCCGAACAAAAGUUGACCAGGACAUAGACUGUGCUUGUCGUGAACAAGGCGUAGAGUUUUUAAACAGGCAAAAUGAGCUUGCGACCAUCCGAAAUUAUUGUGAAAGCUUUCUUCCUGAUAAUGCACCCUGUUUUUUGAUUUCAAGCUAUCAUCCGACAGAUUAUGAUUUCCCAUUACUUUUGAAACGUCUUGUUGACGAUGCCCCUUUGGAACAAAAACAUGCGCAUGUUCUCGGUCUAUGUUUAAGUUCUAAAGAAUCGAUUGAAAGGAAAGCAAAAUGUCUUGAAGGAGAGAUUUGGAAAACUGCAUUUCUAUCAGGAUUAGGAGGUGCUGUUCCCGUACCUGGCAUUUCUGUCGUGAUGGAUAUAGUGCUAAUUUGCGACACUGUUAACUCAUACAGGGAACAUUUCAAAUUGACGGAUGAAGAAAUAAACACAUUUGCCGUCAGUACCGGCUUACCACCAGAUUUAUUUAGAGAAGCUGCUGGUUUAAUGCUGAGACCAGCUAUGUUUACACGAUCUGGUAUCGCUAGUUUAAUGGCGUCGUAUGCAAUUGAGUCCGCUGUUGAGGAAACUGCUAUUUUUGUUCCCGUGAUAGGCUCUGCUGUUGCUGGAACAUUGUCUUACAUUGUAACAAGAAGAAUUUUAAAGAAAAUUCUUAAUGCCUGUAAAAAUGACGCCUUGAAAGUGUUUAAUUUUGUUGCAGCACGGCAGACAUCUAUUGAAUAGGUUUAAAAUAACGUUUUAUAGACAGAUAACUUUUGCAGAACCAAAAAGGUCCAGAUUUGAUACUGAUUAAACCGGUGCUAGGGGGCGUGGGCUGUGUUCCAUUUUACAUCCUGCUAAUGAAAAGACUCGUUUAAACCGAAUCUGCAAUUUUCACUGUCUGCCUUGUUCUCGGUGCUUCAGAGGGAUCUACUUUUAAGAUUUUAUUAACCCGACCUAACAAUAUCCUUUCUUACUACUGUAGAUACCCCAGCACGACUUUGCCUAUCCUAUCUCUUCGAAAUGCCCGUAGAAUUAGUGUUUGUUGAGUAUUUUUAUUUUCAAGGUAUUUUGGUUUUAACCAGAAUUCCGUUCAAAUAACAAUGUUAGGUUUUAGUUGACUGACUGAUGUUUUAUGUGCAUCCUAUUCUUUGUAUCAAAAAUAACUUUAUAAUUGACAAGAACUUUGAGACCUUUAAUGUUUAUUCUUAAAGUGAGCUUUAGCUUUCUUGGAACAUUUGUAUUUGUUUUGUGGUAAAUGUUGAUGUUUUAUUUUUUUUAUUUUUUUUUUUUUGGACGGAUGUGAGAAAGAGAUGUUGCCAGAAUUUGAUGUGUCAAGAGAUCCAGACGGGUUCGAUAUUGCAUUCUGAUUACUGAGGGUGAUUUUUUGCUGUAGUGGGUUCAUUUUUAAAGCCAUAGUUGAAGUGUUUAAAGGUUUGAAGGUUUGAGACACAUUUGUAGAUUAAAUCUAUCCUGCAAGUAAAUAUACAACAACAAAGGGAUUCAAACAACAAAAGAUAUGCUUGUAACUUCCGAAGAUUCAUAAUCUGUGAUAAAACCAUUAAAUAAAAUAACUAUAAUCUGAUGCAAGAUCUCCAAAUAUCCUUGACACAAGAAGUUAACCAAGAUAGCAAGAUCUGCUUACAGGACAUGGAAGGACAAAGCUAAAACAGAUAAAAGAGUUAUGUUUCUUGCAUUUUAAGUUUAUAACAUUAUAUUCAGUACUGACGAUGUUAUCAAAAUGUACAAUUAAGUGUAUUGCGUGCAAAAAGAUUAUUGAGUUAUAAAACUGCUGAUUAUACCUUUCAAAACGCGAACGCGAAAUUUGCAAGUGAUUUUAUUAAGCUCUUGCAAUUGCAACAGGAAUAUAUAGUCAGAUGAACGAAGAAAUAUUUUCACAUAUUGUUGGCAUAAACGUCUGACCUACAUAUUUGGUAUUUUUCUCAGAUAUACCAUUUUAACAAAAUCUGUAAAAAGAUCUUUUGGAAACAUGGAAUGCAACCAAUAGGAACAAUAGCAUAAUAAGUCUGCCAACUGUAUCAUGUGUGUAACAAUUUAGAUACAAGAAUUGGACAAACAACAAACAAUGGUAUGGAUAUAUAAUACGAAAACUUAAUCUAUAUUCGAAAGAUGGAUAUCAAGGUUCACCAAGCUAGAUAAAACAUUCACUUACUAUUAUUUCCCGCGAAAAGCGGAAGCAUGUAGUUUUCGGGUACGUCUAUCCGUUCAUACAUAGUAUUUCUUUGUAAUAUGAAUACUAAUAGACCUUUCUAACGUAAACGUAAAUCGGAAAUGGAAUACUGAAUUCGUAAAUGUUAUUUGCAAAUAAUGGUCUAAGGGAGAUACUAUUGCAUUACUAUUGGAUGAAAUUGUCUCCCCUAGACCACAAAUUAGCCUAAAAUUUUACGAAUUCAGUAUUCCGUUUCGUAAUUACGUUUACGUUAGAAAGGUCUAAUACGCAUAAACAAUUAUAUUAAUCUCUUCAUUUUUACAUGAUAAUUAUUAUCGGUUUGCUGAAAUUUACAACACAACUUGUGUCAUUAAAGGCUUCUGUCUGAAUGUGCUUAUAACUGUAGGAAAAAUGCUUAAUUAUUUUUACUCUUGGUUCAGUUCGAAUAUGUACGGAAUAGUUGAGGUUGAAAAUUUUUACGGAAGAAUCUAUACAAAUGUAUCUGAGUAAUCAUAGUUCUUAUCAGCCUUUGUCUUUUCAUUUCCUGACAUCGGUUUUCACAAAUAAAUUUUUAUAUCGUUUUCCAAAACCAAAGUCUGGACGGGGAAAAGGAUUAAAGAAGAGGAACAUUCUGCUGAUCAAGAACAGAAUGGCGGCGUGAGAAAACAGUUGAGAAGGACGGAUCGGAAAU